rnacentral:rRNA from 1 species
AUUGAACGCUGGCGGCAGGCCUAACACAUGCAAGUCGAGCGAGCGGCGGACGGGUGAGUAAUGUAUGGGAAACUGCCCGAUAGAGGGGGAUAACUACUGGAAACGGUGGCUAAUACCGCAUACCAUCGGAUGAUCCCAGAUGGGAUUAGCUAGUAGGGGGGGUAACGGCUCACCAAGGCGACGAACCCUAGCUGGGCUGAGAGGAUGACAAGCCACACUGGAACUGAGACACGGCCCAGACUCCUACGAGAGGCAGCAGUGGGUAAUAUUGCACAAUGGGCGCAAGCCUGAUGUAGCCAUGCCGCGUGUAUGAAGAAGGCCUUAGGGUUGUAAAGUACUUUCAGCGGUGAGGCGUUACCCGCAGAAGAAGCACCGGCUAACUCCGUGCCAGCAGCCGCGGUAAUAC